GGCGCUAUAGCCAAGUGGUUACGGCGACAGAUUCGAAUCAUCCCUUAUCUGUUCCUCUUUGAGGGCGCAGGUUCAAAUCCUGCUGGCGUCG